GACGAACGCUGGCGGCGUGCCUAAUACAUGCAAGUUGAGCGCUGAAGGUUGGUACUUGUACCAACUGGAUGAGCAGCGAACGGGUGAGUAACGCGUGGGGAAUCUGCCUUUGAGCGGGGGACAACAUUUGGAAACGAAUGCUAAUACCGCAUAAAAACUUUAAACACAAGUUUUAAGUUUGAAAGAUGCAAUUGCAUCACUCAAAGAUGAUCCCGCGUUGUAUUAGCUAGUUGGUGAGGUAAAGGCUCACCAAGGCGAUGAUACAUAGCCGACCUGAGAGGGUGAUCGGCCACAUUGGGACUGAGACACGGCCCAAACUCCUACUGGAGGCAGCAGUAGGGAAUCUUCGGCAAUGGACGAAAGUCUGACCGAGCAACGCCGCGUGAGUGAAGAAGGUUUUCGGAUCGUAAAACUCUGUUGGUAGAGAAGAACGUUGGUGAGAGUGGAAAGCUCAUCAAGUGACGGUAACUACCCAGAAAGGGACGGCUAACUACGUG
rnacentral:rRNA from 1 species